UAACAGGAUGCUGACGAAAUGGUUUUAAACGACCCGUCUUGAAACACGGACCAAGGAGUCUAACAAAUAUGCGAGUAUUCGGGUGGUAAACCCUUAUGCGCAGUGAAAGUGAAAAUGGUGGGAUCUUCGGUGCACCAUCGACCGGUCUGGAUUUUUUUGAUAGAUCAGAGUAAGAGCAUAUCUGUUAAGACCCGAAAGAUGGAGAACUAUGCCUGAAUAGGGUGAAGCCAGAGGAAACUCUGGUGGAGGCUCGUAGCGAUUCAGACGUGCAAAUCGAUCGUC
rnacentral:rRNA from 1 species